UGUACAUUUAAACAUAUAUAUUGUAGAUAAAUUUAUUAAUACACAUCUGGAAAUUUUUAAAGUAGUAAAAAAAUUUUUAUUAUUUAUUAUUUGACUAUAAAAGUAUGUCUAUUGUUGUUAAUAUAAGUCAAUCUAAAAAAAUAACAUCAAUUACAAUAUUAGUAAUUUUUAAACUGCAUUUAUAUGCUAAUGUAUAUAAAUAAUUAGAAUAAGUAUAUUCAUUACAAAAAUGGAAUCGGAUAUAUAGUUGACGUCUAUUAUGAAAUUGUUUACAGUGCACAAAUGUUUUGUGUAACCUCUUGUAACAACGCUCACUAAAAAUAUUUCUGAAAUUCUUCUGGACGUGAUGGAAUGGGAGAAGUGAAGGUCAGCAACUGAUAGGUGGUUCCCAAAUACAUUGACGGUGACUCACUUUAAAGUAGGUUUAUCUCAGUGAAGGAUAUAUCUGGCAGCGUGUGCCAACAUGCCUUAAAUAACUUUACAAUUUCCUACCGAAAGAAUUAAGCUAUUGGAUUUUAAAGAUCCUGUUAAGUUCCUAACAAAGUUCCGCUUUUGCAAAUCAGAUGGCGCGAUGCUCGAAAUAUCCAAUUUAGAGUAAUGGUGAGAUUUUUAUUUAAAGAAAAGAAUUCUUCAAUAUUUCCAACUACUAUUUUUCCCCUCUCUACAGAUAAAUUCGGUAUCUUUAAAUCAGUUUUGUUUCCUCUUCAUUUUCUUUCUGCUGGAUAUCGUCCAAACGAAUUCCAACUGCAUAGCGAUAAAAGAACAGCACAGUGGCCAAGGUCAAGCCAAAUUAUAGUCUAGUUAGAGUAUGGCGCCGACAGCCUGUUUUUGUGUGCAAAACAUUAAGUUUUUAUAUUGGACAAAAUGUCUAUAUAUCCGGGAUAUUCGAUAUAGCCUUUUAAUUUAUAACAACUAAUAAAAACCUGUGCUAUUUAUUUUCGAACUCAACUGUGAAUGUUCUCAUCGCAAACUCAUCAAAAAAUGAUGUCAUUCAAAUGUCUGUCUAUUGAUUGUUUUUGCGAAUUUAUUGAAUCAAUAACAUUAAACUUCAGAUAUGCAAAUUAUAUUAUUGUAUAAUAUUCGUUCAUAUACUGUGUCUAUUUAUGAACCAGUAAACUAAACAUAUUUAAAAACUAUAUGAUGCAUAAAGUGUUGGUGUCGGCCUUAUUGCAUUACGGCUUUUGAUGUAUCCAUUCAGUUCAUGCUUAUAACAUAUCACAAUUAGAGCGAAUGUGUGCCGUUGUUUGGGGAAUACCUCAAUGAUCUUAACUUUCUAACUUUAUAAAGCUAAAAAUAAACAAUCUACAUGAGUUAGCAUUUUCCACCCUAAAAUUGCCAAAUAAAAUCAAAUGAAAGAAGAGGAAAACUUGAUAUUUUGCAGUUUAUAUUCCAGAUAUUUUUGAGUAUAUAUAGAAUAGCAUUAUUAAAAUUUUGAUUUAUUUAUUUAAAUUUGCAGAAUUAAUAUAUGAUAUAUUUUUUUAUUUUACAUACUAUUGGCAUGUAAAAUAAAGCUGGUUUCCUUUUAAUAGCACAAUUUGAACAGUUGUGCGUGGGUGUUAAACAUAAAAUUAAAUAUAUAUAACAUAGGAUUCAACCUACGCGUAAAAGAAUAACAGAUAGAAAUUUUCCUUAUUUUUCAUUUAAAAUAUAUAUUUAACUGCAUUUCUACUGAAAAUAUUUUUAAAAUUUUUUAUUUUAAAUUCUCGUAUUAAUUUCUCAUUUUUUUAAAUAUUGUUUUAAAGUAUAAUUUUACAGCAUCAAAGUAAGUUAUAGAUAAUAAAU
rnacentral:lncRNA from 1 species